UGCGGGAUGGAGCAGUCUGGUAGCUCGUUGGGCUCAUAACCCGAAGGUCGUUGGUUCAAAUCCAGCUCCCGCUACCA
rnacentral:tRNA from 1 species